rnacentral:rRNA from 1 species
AACGAACGCUGGCGGCAUGCCUAACACAUGCAAGUCGAACGAAGUCUUCGGACUUAGUGGCGCACGGGUGCGUAACGCGUGGGAAUCUGCCCUUGGGUACGGAAUAACUCAGAGAAAUUUGUGCUAAUACCGUAUAAUGUCUUCGGACCAAAGAUUUAUCGCCCAAGGAUGAGCCCGCGUAAGAUUAGCUAGUUGGUGGGGUAAAAGCCUACCAAGGCGACGAUCUUUAGCUGGUCUGAGAGGAUGAUCAGCCACACUGGGACUGAGACACGGCCCAGACUCCUACGCGAGGCAGCAGUGGGUAAUAUUGGACAAGGGGCGAAAGCCUGAUCCAGCAAUGCCGCGUGAGUGAUGAAGGCGCUAGGGUUGUAAAGCUCUUUUACCAGGGAUGAUAAUGACAGUACCUGGAGAAUAAGCUCCGGCUAACUCCGUG